CCAACCUAGAACAUCUCCCCCCUCAGCCUCAGCUCCUUCAAUUGUUUGGUUAGGUUAUAUUUUGACAGGAUGUGUGAGGUAUGUAAAAUAACAAACUGUGCAAUGUACGUAGAUAACAACCUUUACCAUUUAUUGAACCACACUAGGUGACAGUAUUCCCACUGAGCACCGAACAAAAACAUUUACUGAGUGAUACAACACACUAAAUAACUUGUCACUUCUCAUGACUUAUUCAAGGUAACGAGCCGGCAGCCUAAUAGGCCUACCGCGCCUAGUCCAGUGAACAACUGGAGCAACUGGGGCAGCAAGGUGUCCUCUACCUCCUCGCCGCUGUCUUGGACCCCUCGGACGUCGCCGUUGAGGUUGAUGAUGAGGGCCUUGGUUAACAUCCAGCUCAGGCUCCCUGCCAUGGGGCGGACUCCAAUCCAGCUGAUGUUGCCUCUCCAUCAGUUCUUGUUGCCUGGGCGGAGUUUGAGCUCUCUGCAACACAUGAGAUCUGUCUUGAGUUUCAAAAUCAUAUGCAACAACAGAAGGUUCGUCUAACCUAUCAGACCUAGUCCGAGAUUUCCUCAAGUGCCAGAACACAAUGGCUUCUCCGACAGCGAAUUCCACAGGCUUUCUCCUGGCUCGCCUGUCAUGCUGUUCUUUGACUCUGGCCUGCCUGUUAGUCUGCACUGCCCCGAGCUGCACUACUCUCGGCUCCAAUUGCUGUGGUCUAGUGGGCACACUUGUGCGACACAUGCGACUCAUCAGAAUUUGAGCUGGUGACCACGACAUCCCUGUCAGCGGAGUGUUGUUAUACUCUCUGAGUGCAUCCAGCCCUACAUCCUUCUCCGUCUCUACUUUCAAUUGAGCCAUCACCCCAGGAGCAAUGGAUAGAUUGGCAGUCACUUCGUGAACUACUUCCACCAUCUCCGGGUCAUCCUCAACAGGAUCCUGGAUAUAGUUUCGAGACAGCAGAUCGGCAAGGAACAUGUAUUUUCCUGACCGGGCCUUUUCCAGCACCCUGCCCAUAAUCAGAUCAUGUUCAACUAGAUCUUUUCCGGGAAUGAGGAUGUCAUCAAAGUACACGAUGCCCCCUGUCUCCCCGAAAACCUGAUCCGUUAAGUACU